UCUUUUACAAAGAGGGGUGGAGGUUGUUGUUGCCUUUUUUUUUUUUCCUUAUGAAUGGAGGGCGGCGGCGACUGCUGCAGCUGGUUCAGCUGCGCGGGCUGUACCCCCUCCCAGCCUGCGAGAGGAGGAAGCUAGUGGAGUACCUGCAAUGACAAAACCAAAGAAUAAAGCAAGAGGAUAGACACCAUGGAAAUAACUACAUGGACCUCAGGUUUAAUGGCUGCUCCAGUGACAUCUGCAUUAAUGAGGGGGAAAAGAAAAAGGAUCCCUCACUGAUGGAGAAAGAGUCCCCCUGGGUGGUGAAAGGAUUAAAGGCACACAACUGUGAAGUGGUGACACUGUGGCUGGAAUCCAGGAAACCCAAGUGUACCGCCACCCUCAACACUCUGUGGACUGCUUGUGGCUGAGCUCCUCUUCCCUGUGGCCACAAGGUGACUGCCACAGCUUCACACUCAUCACAUAUCCACCUCCAGUUUGGCUAUGGAGUAUGGCUACCCAAGAAGGAGCUCCCACGCACAUCCUAAAAUCCAAUGGGCAGACCUCUAACCCCACAUCAAGGUUCUGGAAGAUGCAAGAGAUGCUCUUCUUUCCAUUGACUGAAAAUUGUGACAUCAUCGCUUCUCAGAGCAUCCCUGGAGGAAGGUGGCACUGGCUCUGUCCUGCAGGUGAGGAAACUGAAGCUUGGUAAGAGCACCUUUACCAGACAUUGUACUUGGAAUCAUAGACAAAACCAUGACCAGAAUCCAGGCCUGACUGUUUUAAAUAUCCUGCUUUUUCCUCUCUUUCAUACAAUACCUUGAACAGUUACCAGAAAGAUUGGUCCAAAUCAAGCCAUAUACACUUCACUCCUUGGUCCCCCUUAUGUUCAAGAUCUGACCUGCACAAGAUGUCGGAUGGCCAUGCAGAACCCCGUUUUGUAGCCAUGAUGAUGUUAGCUACCUGGGACUUUUGGCUCAGAUGGUAGAGUUGACUUUGCCGUCUGAGGAGCCCCGUCUUGGCCAUGUAAACGCUCCAUGGAGGUAGACAUGAGACAGAGCUGCCUGGCGCACGACUCAGCCCUCGGCCCUGAGCCCCAGCACCAAGUUGUUGCACUGGUGAGAGUUUGUCUCAAGAGUUUCCUCUGUAAAUAUUAUUUCUCCAGGAUGUCCAAGUUUCAUAGCUCAUUUUCACUGGAUUUCUUUCUGGCUAAGUUGCUUAAACAUAUAUCCUUCUACAAGCAGGGCUGGCAGGAAGGAGUAACACCCAGCGCGUUGCUCGCGUAGCUGACUAGGUGUCCAACUGCCUAGUGUGACUUCAUUCCAGUUUUCCAAACCUACAUCCUCCUGCAGCUGCUGUUAAGGGUUGGGAGGGAAGGAGAGCAAGUGGGAGAGGGGGGCUUACAAAGAGAGGGAGGGACUGGCCAACAGCCUUGGCAGAAGCAGCAGCCCUUCCCUCUUGGAGGGAGCAGGGGCCUCAGGGGAAGCCACCGAGUCAUCAUGUAUUCAUGCUCUGGGCAUUACGUGCUGGGUCCUCUGUUCUGUGUGGGCAAGGUCCCCGCCUUCAGGGGCUUACACCUAUUUAGGAUCAGAUGACCCAGAGUAAUCAAGCAGUACAACAGCAAAAACUCCACUUGUUCGAGCUAAAAGUAAACAAAAGUGCAGCAACCAAAACCCU